rnacentral:rRNA from 1 species
UUCGCAAUGCCCGAAAGGGUGACGAAGCGACGCCGCGUGUGGGAAAAAGGCCUUCGGGUUGUAAACCACUGUCGGGAGUUAAGAAAUGCAAGGAUAUGAAUAGUGUCUUUGCUUGACUAAGGCUCCGGAGGAAGCCACGGCUAACUCUGUGCCAGCAGCCGCGGUAAUACAGAGGCGGCAAGCGUUGUUCGGAAUUAUUGGGCGUAAAGAGCACGUAGGCGGCUAUGUAAGUCGGUUGUGAAAGCCUUCCGCUCAACGGAAGAACAGCAUCCGAUACUACAUGGCUUGAGUGCGGGAGGGGAGAGUGGAACUUCUGGUGGAGCGGUGAAAUGCGUAGAUAUCAGAAGGAACGCCGGCGGCGAAAGCGGCUCUCUGGCCCAUAACUGACGCUGAGUGUGCGAAAGCUAGGGGAGCAAACGGGAUUAGAUACCCCGGUAGUCCUAGCCGUAAACGAUGGGCACUAAGUAGAGGGGUUUU